GAUCCUGGCUCAGGACGAACGCUGGCGGCGUGCCUAAUACAUGCAAGUAGAACGCUGAAGAGAGGAGCUUGCUCUUCUUGGAUGAGUUGCGAACGGGUGAGUAACGCGUAGGUAACCUGCCUUGUAGCGGGGGAUAACUAUUGGAAACGAUAGCUAAUACCGCAUAACAAUAGGUGACACAUGUCAUUUAUUUGAAAGGGGCAAUUGCUCCACUACAAGAUGGACCUGCGUUGUAUUAGCUAGUAGGUGAGGUAACGGCUCACCUAGGCGACGAUACAUAGCCGACCUGAGAGGGUGAUCGGCCACACUGGGACUGAGACACGGCCCAGACUCCUACGGGAGGCAGCAGUAGGGAAUCUUCGGCAAUGGGGGCAACCCUGACCGAGCAACGCCGCGUGAGUGAAGAAGGUUUUCGGAUCGUAAAGCUCUGUUGUAAGUCAAGAACGAGUGUGAGAGUGGAAAGUUCACACUGUGACGGUAGCUUACCAGAAAGGGACGGCUAACUACGUGCCAGCAGCCGCGGUAAUACGUAGGUCCCGAGCGUUGUCCGGAUUUAUUGGGCGUAAAGCGAGCGCAGGCGGUUUGAUAAGUCUGAAGUUAAAGGCUGUGGCUCAACCAUAGUUCGCUUUGGAAACUGUCAAACUUGAGUGCAGAAGGGGAGAGUGGAAUUCCAUGUGUAGCGGUGAAAUGCGUAGAUAUAUGGAGGAACACCGGUGGCGAAAGCGGCUCUCUGGUCUGUAACUGACGCUGAGGCUCGAAAGCGUGGGGAGCGAACAGGAUUAGAUACCCUGGUAGUCCACGCCGUAAACGAUGAGUGCUAGGUGUUGGAUCCUUUCCGGGAUUCAGUGCCGCAGCUAACGCAUUAAGCACUCCGCCUGGGGAGUACGACCGCAAGGUUGAAACUCAAAGGAAUUGACGGGGGCCCGCACAAGCGGUGGAGCAUGUGGUUUAAUUCGAAGCAACGCGAAGAACCUUACCAGGUCUUGACAUCCCGAUGCUAUUUCUAGAGAUAGAAAGUUACUUCGGUACAUCGGUGACAGGUGGUGCAUGGUUGUCGUCAGCUCGUGUCGUGAGAUGUUGGGUUAAGUCCCGCAACGAGCGCAACCCCUAUUGUUAGUUGCCAUCAUUCAGUUGGGCACUCUAGCGAGACUGCCGGUAAUAAACCGGAGGAAGGUGGGGAUGACGUCAAAUCAUCAUGCCCCUUAUGACCUGGGCUACACACGUGCUACAAUGGUUGGUACAACGAGUUGCGAGUCGGUGACGGCAAGCUAAUCUCUUAAAGCCAAUCUCAGUUCGGAUUGUAGGCUGCAACUCGCCUACAUGAAGUCGGAAUCGCUAGUAAUCGCGGAUCAGCACGCCGCGGUGAAUACGUUCCCGGGCCUUGUACACACCGCCCGUCACACCACGAGAGUUUGUAACACCCGAAGUCGGUGAGGUAACCUUUUGGAGCCAGCCGCCUAAGGUGGGAUAGAUGAUUGGGGUGAAGUCGUAACAAGGUAGCCG
rnacentral:rRNA from 1 species